CCUUCCGGUUAAAGCUUAUUAACCUACAGAAGCCUGACAUGGGGCGACUAUAAAUAACCAUGGAGUUCGACCCUCAACGGGUAGGACAACACCGCUGAAAUGCUGUGAUCAACUAUUGUUGUACCAGCAGCCCCUUCAUUACGGGGUCCACAGAUCAAGCCGCGGUGAUCUACCUACGAUAAUUAGGUAGGACUAUAAUAUGACCGGUCUCAGCCUGAGAUAGCUGAGAGAAUACGUUCCGUAGGUGAACCUGCGGAAGGAUCAUUACCGAGUUAGGGUCUUCUAGGCCCGACCUCCAACCCUUUGUUUACUAUACCAUGUUGCUUUGGUGGGCCCGCCUUUAGGGGCCGCUGGGGGACUUUCAUGCCCCUAGUCAGUGCCUGCCAGUAGCCUUCUUAAAUUCUUUUAUAAUUAUGUCGUCUGAGUAUAACUAUAAAUCGUUAAAACUUUCAACAACGGAUCUCUUGGUUCUG
rnacentral:misc_RNA from 1 species